rnacentral:rRNA from 1 species
UGACGGUACCUGACUAAGAAGCCCCGGCUAACUACGUGCCAGCAGCCGCGGUAAUACGUAGGGGGCAAGCGUUAUCCGGAUUUACUGGGUGUAAAGGGAGCGUAGACGGCAAGGCAAGUCCGAUGUGAAAGCUCGCAGCUCAACUGCGGAACUGCAUUGGAAACUGUUUAGCUAGAGUACAGGAGGGGCAAGCGGAAUUCCUGGUGUAGCGGUGAAAUGCGUAGAUAUCAGGAGGAACACCGGUGGCGAAGGCGGCUUGCUGGACUGUAACUGAUGUUCAGGCUCGAAAGCGUGGGGAGCAAACAGGAUUAGAUACCCUG